rnacentral:rRNA from 1 species
GACCAGACUCCUACGGGAGGCAGCAGUGGAGAAUAUUGCACAAUGGGGGGAACCCUGAUGCAGCAACGCCGCGUGAGUGAAGAAGUAUUUCGGUAUGUAAAGCUCUAUCAGCAGGGAAGAAAAUGACGGUACCUGACUAAGAAGCUCCGGCUAAAUACGUGCCAGCAGCCGCGGUAAUACGUAUGGAGCAAGCGUUAUCCGGAUUUACUGGGUGUAAAGGGAGCGCAGGCGGUACGGCAAGUCCGAUGUGAAAUGCCGGGGCUCAACCCCGGGGCUGCAUUGGAAACUGGCAGGCUGGAGUGCCGGAGAGGCAGGCGGAAUUCCUAGUGUAGCGGUGAAAUGCGUAGAUAUUAGGAGGAACACCAGUGGCGAAGGCGGCCUGCUGGACGGUGACUGACGCUGAGGCUCGAAAGCGUGGGGAGCAAACAGGAUUAGAUACCCCCGUA